GUCAGACCUGUAUAUCUCUAAUGUAUAUUGCAAUACAUGCACUAAAGUUUGUCUAUGCACUAAUCUAGAAAUGUCUAUGACAUACACUCAUGCUUGGGAUUUGCGAGUGACAUUUCCAUUAAAUAUUACAGUAGAUGGGGUUUAUUUCAACUGCAUUUGAAUUUUGUUAUAAAAUUGGUUUUUCUUUUAAACAUCGUUGUACUUGUCAUUUGUGUGGCUUUUUCCACGUCUUCCUAUAGGUUUGAGGUUAUACUUGUGAAAUAGUGAUAGAAAAGCCCAUAUGUAUUUAUUGAUAUAUUUGUUCUAUUUGGGAUCAGGAAAACUGAAAAAGUAUAUAGGAAUACACAGUUUUAGAAUUAAAUACUUAAGACCUAGGCGAUUGAUUAGUACUUUUUAAUAUUAUGCACCAAAUAAUGAAUAAAGUGUGCGUAUAUAUAUAAAACCAUAAUUUUUUUAUACAAAAUUAUAAAUUUAGUAUAUAAUUGUUCUAUUGCUAAUAAUAAGUAACUUUGUAUAUUUUUGCAUGAUACGCUCUUUUUGAUGAAGGUAUUGAAUUCCGUGAACAUAUAUUUUUUAUAGUAAUGCCUAUCCUUUGUACUAUCUUCUCCAAGUAGGUUAAGAUUUUUUCGAUUAGAACCCCUUUCUGAUUGCUUCUAAUCGAAAAAAUCCUAGUAACACCUAGCCUAUAGGCUAGUACACUAAAAUUUAUUAAACAAAAAAUUAGGUACAACAGAAACCUAAAACUGAAAAAAUAACAGGGGCGGAUCUACUUAAAGGCUUUUUGGGCUGUAGCCCAGGGCCCCGUGAAUACAGAGGGCCCCCAACCUGAACUGAAAACAAUAGACGAUAUUGUCAAUAAUAAAAAUCAUCUAGAAUUAAAAAAAAUGCGAUCAAAGAUUGACAACACUGCUAUCAAUCAACCCGUGUGCGCAUCUAUCAAACGGAAUGGGGAAUUCCCCGUCGCUUGUUUUCGGUCGGUGUAUUCCGUGUAUUGUCUAUUACUGGGGACUUCCCUCUGCUUAUCGCCCGACGCAAUUUUGUUAGUUACAUUUAGUGAAUGUGCAUUCAGUUAAAAUUUUACUUACUGCAGUCUAAGACAGAGUCUUACACCUCUUGCGGUGAAUUUUUUUGGGUAAUUUAUGAAAAGAAAUUUGUUGAUGUUUUCCCAAACUGCUAUACCAUCUUAAAGAUUUUGUUAACGUUGCCGAUCACUAGCUGUGAAGCGGAGCGCUCUUUCUCCAGGAUGU